CACGAGAACGCACCGCAGAGGGCAGGAGUGGGGGACCCACCAUCCGGACGUCCUCGGACGUCCUCGGGGUUAAGUCGGCUCGACCCAGCGUUUUCGAUGGGGAGAUCGUUAUCCCGCCACCGAAGACCCGCGGCCGGUCCGGCCGGGCCAUCCCAGCCCGCACCCGACAGCUCACCCCGCAGGCGAACGGGAUUGGACUG
rnacentral:sRNA from 1 species